GUGGUGUUGUUCGUUCGUAAAUUGCGAGUAGAGAGAGAGAGAGAGAGAGCAGACUCCUUCCCAAAGAAGGCGACUGAUCGACCAGAUAUACACAUAUAUAUACACGCGUAUACAUAUAACACACAUAUGCACAUCGAGGAAUCGCAUCGAUUCAAUCUUCCCAAUCCCGAACCGCCUCAAUAAACGCAGGAGAAGAUCCGAGAGGGGAAGUGAAACAGAAACCCCCACGACUUUGUGUAUUUGACUUCCACCUCCGCUUCCCCUUUCCUCCUCCGAUUCAAUCUUGGCAAUAAGGAUUUCAUGGAUUUCACCACAUGGGGCUUGGACGACCCAUCAACGUCGUGGAGAACCCUUAAGUCUCACUAUGCAGAGGAGGUGGAGGAGGAGGAGAUAGAGGAGAUGGAGGACGAUGGGGCGGUGUAUCCCUGCCCUUAUUGCUCAGAAGACUUUGAUGAUGCCGAAUUGGUUGAGUACCAUAUCCGGGAGGCUCAUCCUUCCAAAUCAGAUUAUGAUUCUGAGACAUGUCCAGUUUGUGCAGCAAGGAUACGGACCGACAUGGUUGAACACCUCAUUGCGAGGCAUCGGAGCAGUCUUGAUAUGGAACAAUUGCUGAAACUUGUGAAAGCCGAGAGCUAUUCAGAUUCUUCUUUAUAUGGGGAACAAUAUCGUGCAUCUUCACGGACUAGUUCCCCUGAGGCUGAAGCAGCAUUCGGUAAAUUGUUAUCGUUUAUUUGUGAGGUGCCCCCUGCAAAUGAGGUUGAAACUGUACAGUCGAAUUUGUCAACGUCAGUAGUCUCCUCUUUGGAAAAGUUCCCUAAUGAGGAAGGGGUGGAAAGGUCUGUUCACCCAUCUCCUACAUUGGAGGAGAAAGCAGCAGACAAGGAAGCUAGAUCAAGAUGCGAAUUCGCGCAGGCAUUGACUCUCUCUUCCUUCUUUGACAUGGACUUUUGAGGGAGAGGUUGCGGUUUUCAUCUUUGCUCCUAAUUCUAAGUCUCAAAAGAUUCAGCACUUCGUCCUGUCGGGUACUUAGGAUGCAGUUCCUCGAGAUGUUCCAUUAUAGGUGAAAGCACAGCAGGUGUUUUUAAGACUUGAGCUCGAUAUGAAGUGCAGGCCAACGCAGUGAGGAGUUUCUUGGAAGAAAUUUGUUAAUCGAGUUUAAAGGCUCCUUAUCCUCUUUCCUCUUCAUUUGAGAGAUAUCCUUCGGGAAUCAAUUGGAAUUUAUGUAGACAGUUUAUCGUGCGAGUGAAGAGUAUUGGAUUACGAGGGUUGAUGUUGCGGGAAACAUGAGACCAAAUGAUAUUGUCAUGCGAAAAGUAGACCCUUCUUUAUGGAGACUCGGUCUCAUUUCUUCGAACGACCAUGUAAAGCGUAAACAUUGGUCUGCAAAAGUGGAGCGAAAUGUACAUUUACAAGUCGGAGCAAAGCUUUCGUGUUAAUCACUUCAUUCGUAGCUUAAUGUCCAAAGCCAAGGACGUCUUUGUCCUCUUUCUGAUACUCUAGGAAGUCGCAUGCAUCCAGGAUAAGCUCAUCGUCCAUAAGCGGCAGCUCCUUCACAACCUCGAUUACAUUCUCAAUUGGGAUCUAGUGUGGUUCAAUCGUCCUCUUUCCUUGCAUCCAAUGAAUACGUAACUGAAGUCACCGUUCCGUUGAGCCUUUUCGCUUGCGUUUGUUGAUUGUGGUCCAUUGCACGCUUUCUUGGGGCGUGUUUUAUUUCUGACUUCUGAGCUGCCCCUUCUUGUUCCUCGCUUGUAUUUGAUGGAUAAGGUGAUUGAGACCCCUUUGAUGCCUGUUGAUCUUCGGCUGGUGGUUCAUCGUCUGCAUUUCGGGCUGAACGGAGUUCUUGAUCAUUAGUGCUCAGGUCACAUCAUAUCAUGCACAGGUCCUUGUAGUAAGGAACAGGCCGGGUCAUGAACUGCCGUUCAUCUGUGUGUGCCUGCAGGUAGCCAUUCUAGGCUUGCUGCUUAAAACUUAACAUGUUAUAUCGGCAAACCGCGUUAAAUCCAAUGUACUCAGCAAAUUACGAGCAGGACAAGCCGGGAGGAAAAAAAGAAGGUUUCGGAA